AGUGAACGCUGGCGGUAGGCCUAACACAUGCAAGUCGAACGGCAGCACAGGAGAGCUCGCUCUCUGGGUGGCGAGUGGCGGACGGGUGAGGAAUACAUCGGAAUCUACUUUUUCGUGGGGGAUAACGUAGGGAAACUUACGCUAAUACCGCAUACGACCUACGGGUGAAAGCAGGGGACCUUCGGGCCUUGCGCGAUUGAAUGAGCCGAUGUCGGAUUAGCUAGUUGGCGGGGUAAAGGCCCACCAAGGCGACGAUCCGUAGCUGGUCUGAGAGGAUGAUCAGCAACACUGGAACUGAGACACGGUCCAGACCCCUACGGGAGGCAGCAGUGGGGAAUAUUGGACAAUGGGCGCAAGCCUGAUCCAGCCAUACCGCGUGGGUGAAGAAGGCCUUCGGGUUGUAAAGCCCUUUUGUUGGGAAAGAAAUCCAGCUGGCUAAUACCCGGUUGGGAUGACGGUACCCGAAGAAUAAGCACCGGUUAACUUCGUGCCAGCCGCCGCCGUAA
rnacentral:rRNA from 1 species